rnacentral:rRNA from 1 species
UACGUAGGGUGCAAGCGUUAUCCGGAAUUAUUGGGCGUAAAGAGCUCGUAGGCGGUUUGUCGCGUCUGCUGUGAAAACUGGAGGCUCAACCUCCAGCCUGCAGUGGGUACGGGCAAACUAGAGUGCGGUAGGGGAGAUCGGAAUUCCUGGUGUAGCGGUGAAAUGCGCAGAUAUCAGGAGGAACACCGGUGGCGAAGGCAGCUCGCUGGGACGUUACUGACGCUGAGACGCGAAAGCGUGGGGAGCAAACAGG